CGGGGUGGGAGACGGGCGCGCUGAAAUGCGCUCAGGCAGAGGUGGCCGUGAGUGCAAGGCUGGGUUGCACGCGAGAAUUCGCAGUGAAAGGGUCUGCAGGAAAGCAGGGCUUCUCGUAUGAUGGAAGCAGAAAUUCACCUUCAGAGUUCGUCCCUAAGGGAAACGCGACGGGACUCUAGCAGUUGGAUUUCAGCAAGCUGCUGCUGCACACUUGUGUUUCCCGUUGGAUUUGGUGAGGUCCAAGAGAGUCCAAAGCUCUGUGCUUAAAAAAGCACUUAAGAAGGGAAACUACUACCAGCGAAGCAGAAAUGCAGAGCAGCCCUGCUACUACUGUGGAUGACCUGAAGUUCUAGGCUGGACCUACAGCCAGAAAUGCUUGCCUUGCUACUUGAUAAGAUGUGAGAGACAACACUUCUCCUUCAAGAUUUAAGAUAUUGUUCUUCUGGAGGAAAACACUGUAAGCAAUCCGAGAUGCACUUUUUGUUUGAAUCUCAUUUUUCCAAAAAGGUACUGCUGUGGUAUGCUUAGAAUAUUUGGACUUUCCUGUAAGAAUCUAUCUGCCAGUAACACAGGCUGAAAAACGAGGUGAAAAAAACACUUAAUUGCUACCAAAUUAAUACUUCAUCUUUGUAUCUUAGUGUCAUUUUCUCUUACUGUGUAUUUUGGUAUACAGCAACAGUAAAUGAAGCGUGCUUCUCUCUUAGAUUUGGUUGCUGUUUUUGUUUGGUUGUUUGUUUGUUUUUGUUGGUGCAGGUUGACUUCCAUCAGCUCUGGAUGGAAUGGAACUGGCCUACCUGCCUGCUUGUAAGACUGGCCUUCAUGUUCCUGUGCUGGAAGAGGACAGAGGAGCUCUGGGAAAGGGCACUGCGCUGUUUUGAACUGGUGUGCUCACACACCGUGGAGCUGCUUCCAUGCCCUCAUAUCACACCGGAGCCUUGGUUGUUUUCUGCAGAUUCUCCUCUGCAGUCUGGUUCGAAGCUUGCGAGCUGAAACCAGUUCCACAGCUUCCCUGGCACUCUGCUUUAAAAGUUGCUCUCUGGCUCCAUCUUCUGUUUUGUUUGCUGAGUUUUGUUUUUCUUUUCUAGCUUUGGUAUAGCAGGGAGAGAUUUUUCUGAGUUUUAUAAAGUGUACUUGUUUUAAAAAGUAGGUAAUUGCUUCUUGUGUGACAGUUGUGACCACCAGGUGAGCAGGUGGCCCGUGGGGACCUGGCCUUUCCCAGCUCUACCAUUAGCCCUGGUUUUAGAUACUUGUUUCUGCAACGCUGUUACUGCUGGUAGAACCAGAAGAAAACAGCCCCAAAAGCAGCGUUUUCCCUUUUGGGUAACUGUUUUGCAAAAUGGUGGCAUGAUCUGACAACACAGUGACACCUUGCAAACCUUUCAGCUAGAACUGGAAAGCAUUGGGGCCAGCAAGUAUGAGUGAGAUGACUUCAAUAAACAGCUUGAAUUUUGUGGAUACUAACAAAAACAGUCCUUCAGUUGAGUGCUGAGCAAUUAUACAUGUGUAAUAUUUAUAAUACCAGGAACAAGCUUUUCAUAAAGAAAAAAAAAACGAUUUUCUGUUGAUUAAAUUUGAGGCCAGAAGACAUGCCCCUGUGAGCUGUGAAAUAAACUGAUUGCGGUUGCUCUCACUCUGCAAGAGGAACUAAUGUGGGAGAGAAGCUGCGCUCUUCCCGAUUCAGUGCUUAGUUUCAAAAGUGCUCCACUGACAGCAAGCCAGAUUUCAGCUUCCGAAGCCUCUUCCUCAAUCACCCAUGCAGAACCAAAGGGCUUGUACACACAAAAGGUAAAAACACUUGGCAACAAGUAGAGGCACCUCUCAAUAGCCAUCAAAUGCAGCAGCGGCUUACUCCUGCCCAUGAUUUUCUACUCUGCUGGUAAGCUAAAUGUCUUAUCACUUUAUACUACAUGGGAUUUACUGUUUCCUCAAAGCCUGUAGCUCAAUGCAACUGCAAAAAAUUUGUCCUUAAAAUUCUCUCCUUUGCAGUUGCCUCUUUUGUCAGCAGUGAUAGCCUUCAUGAGAUAGUUACUAAAAAAUUGAUUUCAGAUGUUACAUCAUUCUUAGAAGCAUGUGGGAAAUAGAUAUAGAUCCAUUCUUCGUAUAGAAAGGCAAACUUCACAGAGCACCAAAGGAUUCAGUGGGAAAUACAUUUGUCCAUCUUCCUCAAAAAUACAAACUGUUGUAAAACUACACUCUUAUUUUGCUCCAGAUAUUUAUCAUUCAUUCAGUGAACAAUACUGCCUAUCACAUUUCUGAUAACAAAUCCUUCUUGUUAUUAGUUUUAUGUGGGCAUUAAGAGAAUGGGGACCUAUCAGAAAUCAGAUCUGCUGUAUACAGAAGUUCUGAAAAAAAGAAAGAUUAGCUUUAAAACAUACGCAAGGCAGUAUGCAUAGCACCUUGCUGAGAAGAAGUACACUAAUUUUUAGCUGCCAUGUAAUUGCUGUUGGCUUUGUAACUGACUGUGAACAUGUGAGAACAAAAAAGUGAUGCUGUGUCAGUGUGUGGGCUGCAAAUGAGAACUCCUGGCUCAUGCAUUUUGCCCCAUAAGCAGUUCUGGCAUUGUAUGCAGUCUUAUUGCUGUUUCCUUUGUCCUCACUGAUCCAGCUAUAGUAUCACUCACAUUUUGGGCUUCCAGCUUGGUGUCAAAAAUUUCUGUAAUUUAAAUCACUGUCUUUUUGGUGGAACACUCUGAUCACUAAUUCUUAUAAGCUCAUUAUUCUUGUAUUUUUCUAGGCCUCAGGACUUCAGAACUUGUUCUAGAUCUUCCUUCUCUGUGAUAUUGAAGAAUCAAUACAUUCAUAUUCUAUUUGGAAAAUGGAUUAAAGUCACCUAUGUAACUUGGUUAAAAGCACUGGAUUUUCCUAGGACAGCAAAAUACUUUCAACCAACUGAGCAUAUAGAAGUCAAAAAGAUCAAAAGACCUUGGACACGAGAGGAAGUUUAUGAAGGAAAAUAUUAGAACUGAUCCUGAAGCGCUCAAGGCUUUCCGAUUGCAACAUCGUGAAAUUCAAAGCCAUCUGCAACAACAAAAGAACCCAUUACUGACCAAGCAGCACUGCUGGAUGAAGACUGUUAUUAUGAUGAAGAGUUACACUUACAAUUCAAGGUUCAUUACAAGCUGGUCUCAACUCUCUUCUAAAAUUUUCCUUGUGAGAAAUGCUUUUGUGAUUUCAUCUUGGUGAGAAUUAUCCUUUUAUACUUUUCAAAGCAAUGUUUUAAGUGUCUUUCCUUCCCAUUUGGGAUUUUUCUGCAAGAAGUCACUUUCUGCAAGUUACUGCCAAGCAGAUUUGCCCACUGUGGGCUUGACUUUGCUGUGCAAGAUUUUGGACCUUUUUAACAAGUAAGUUUUGUAUCAGGGCUUCAACAUUCAUCUGAAAGCAGAAACAAACCCAAUCUCCUUGUAUUUUAAUUGUAUCUUUUGCAUAAUGUGCUCAACAAACAGUCGCAAACAUCUAGCCAAAGGUGCUUUAAGUCAGGGAAUACAGACAAACACAUUUCUUCCUCGGAUGAAAAGACGCUUUGCUUUUUAUCAGGUUUGUUUUAUUCUAGAAUACUGGUGUCUUCGCUUUAUAGAUGGCCUUUGUAGAGAGUUCCAGUUACUUGUUGAGGUUUGAUAAGUUUUCAUUAAAUGCUAAGUGGCAAAAGGCAGCCCAAGAGGCACUGAUUCCAUCUGACACCAGUCACAUGGUUUCGUAGAGCAAUCAGUUGCAUCUUUCUUUUACAGUAUAUUCUGUUUUGGGGCAGUGCAUAAUAAUCACAUUUUGAGUAAAGGCUGGAUAAUAAAUUUUACCACGUGCCAAUACUGUAAAGAAAAGACUCCUAGCUCUCAAAUACUGCAUGCAGGUAUGGUACCUCAGUGGGAUACACUUUAGGGAUGAAUGCACAAUUCUGCCUUCUAGUUUACUAUGACCAUACCGAUUACUCUGGCCAUUCAAAAUAAAUAAAAUAGACCCCCUUGUUUUGCCUCCCUGCAAAGCCGCUUGUAGAAUAUUUUUAGCUGCAACCAUUCCAUGCUCCAAGCCGACUGUAGCAGCAAUUGGUGUUCUUGCACCACUUGAUUAGUUGGAUAAAUUCUGCAUGCUCAUGUCUGGGAUCCAUGGCAAUAGAGUUACGUUGCUAUGCUAUGAAAUGUGCAGGAGGGUGCAACCCUUGAGAAGGGAUAUGAUUUCUGGAGCUGAUGAAACUUUGCAGCGUAGGCAAGAAAGAAUGCUUAAGGCAACAAACAGAAGAAAUCUCUGGAAUGGUGACAAGUAUCACUCAGGUUGGUGGGUAUAGGCAGAGCACCCAUCUCUCAGGGAAACAGCUAUCUGGAAAUUGUUAAAAAAUUAUGUUGUGGGCAAAGAUUAUCCUAAUUCUGUGCUGGACAUCUGAGAAGAGAGCACAUGGCAGCAGCAUGUAUAACAGGUAUUUAUGUGAAGGGCUGAAUUAACCCAUCGUGAUACGUACAGGAGCUUUUAGUCAGGGCUAGUAAAGUGAGAAAACUAAAAGCCAGGAUUCUAACUAAAAGCUAAAAAACAGAGAUUGCUGCAAGCAGUCUCUCACAAACUAUCUGAUAGAUGUAACUAUUAUUUCUGGCCUUACUGAUGACAGGAUUUCUUUUUCUCCCCUGGCACAAUAAGCAAAAGUAUCCUCAGACCUGUUGUUUCAGUGAAUGCAAAAAACUCUUCCUGUUUUCAUGGCCUGGGAAGAGGAGGGAAGAUGAGAAGUCUGUACCUGUAUUAUUCCCUGGGCACUGUGGUACCAUCAGGAAUCAAGUGGACUGCUGCUGCCAGCAUCUCAAAGAUGAAUAAAUUCAAGAAAAAGGAGGUGGGGAAAAAGAAAUAAAAAAAAAAAGGUAAAAAUACCUAUGCUUUCACAUGCCAGAGAGGUUUUCUGUUCUCUUUGGGUCUUGACACUGCUAGCUGAAUUACCCAAGAGACUGAAUUUAAAAGCUUGGAGUUGUGAAAGGUUUUUGUUCUUGACCAGGAUCCUACCUGAAGUGAAAGGAGCAAUGUAACACAUCUGGAAGGAUACAUAAGGACUGUAAAUCUACUAAAAUUCUACUGCCUUAUUAGAACUGUAAUCUUGAAAUGUUUGUUCUAAGCAGUUUUCUCCACGUUAAAUUUAAUAUUUCCCUAAAGUGCCAAAUAGAAAAGGCUCUGCUCUGUUAAACACUGUUAAAAACAUAUGAAGACAACACGUAGCCCAGAAGACCUUUCAAUCUAAGGCCAGUAAUACCAAAGGAAAAGCAGGUAUCAAAUAAACAGUCUUAAUUUGAUUUUAUCUUUGUCUUCUAUUCAGGUGCCUUAAAACCUUUCCAUCAUUAAUUGACUGACUUCCACUGUCACAGCACAGAUGGUCCUCAAAGAGAUUAGUUUUUCCUCAGAAAAUAAUCUUACUAUGCACUUCCAUCACAACGCACUUUUGAAAAGCUUAAGUACUUCACAAAUAUUCAUGAACUUCAUCUCUUGGUGCCCACAUUCAGUCUGGACAGUUAGAAAACAAUCUAUUUCAAACCAUCCUAACCCCAAUUUCCUUGAAAUUCCACAUUAACUAUUCUACCCCUGGAUGGCAAACUUGUGUUCUCUGUGCUCCGAGCUAUUGAGCCAGGAAACAGCAAGGGAUUUGGAUGAAUGAAGUAGUGGUGGGGAGUACAAAAAUCCCUAGGAAGCUUCAAGAGCUAUCCUCUGGGCUUCCCGAUCCACAAGCACUGAAAAUGAAGCUGUGUUUGAAAAUGGGCCAAGAGAAGCCAGAAUGCAACUUCUUCUAGGGGUCAUCAUUCUGCAGAGUGGCGUAGUUUCACUGUGCUGGGAAAGCUAAAGUACAGGCUUCUAAAAGGUGCCAGACAGUCUUGAAGGCAGACAGCUGCCUCUGCAAAAUUUAGAAAAAUAGGCAUUCUUGGUCAAAGUCCUAGAGUAUAGAUAAAAAACUGAGAUCAAAUUAUCUUAAUGUCACUUUUCUGAAAAAAUGUUAGGGAUAACAUCUUAUCUGAGCCUUCUCAGAGCUUUAUAGUUACCUGAAUUACAGUUUCUCUUUGGGAACAAUUUCAGGAACAGAGAGAAAAAAAAGAGUAAGGUAAAAAAAUCACUGAAUAUAAAAUAGAGAAAAACAAUCCAUCUAACAAUAUAAGUUCCCAUGUAGUCAAGUUCAGGACAAGUGGAAAAUAUCAUUUUAUUUAUAAAUAAAGCAAAUAAACCAAAUGCACAGAGCUUGACUAAAGGAAGACUAAAGGGAAUAUGAUGCAAGCACUAAAACUCAGAAUGCUAUACAGGGAUAUAUGUUUUAGUGAUGAGCAUCAAACCAAGCAAUGGAAAAAUUAAAACUUCCAAUUGUGAAAAAAAAAGUGUGGAGAUGACAAAUUACAAGGCUAUGGAAUGGGAUUUUAAUGGAAGCUCUGAAAAAUCUACCUGUGUCAUUAAAACCUGAGCAGACCAAGAUCUUCACAUCUUUGUGAAAUUGUUCUGUGUACAGGAGGAGAAAGGCAAUUUAAAAUAAACAAAUAAACACAUAAAAUAUUAAAGUUUAACUGCCAGUUGUACUUCAAGCCUGUGGUUUAGGACAAAAUAAGCCUAACACUCUGAUAAUAUAACAAAAAUUCAGUGAAUAUUCACUGGGAGAAGUUGUUUACCUUCAAGGAAAAGAGAAACAAACAAACAAACAAACAAACAAAACAGUAACAGUAUAUCAAAAGCCUUUUUUAUUUUUAAAUAGUUAUAUUUUCCGGCUCAUAUUUUAUACUCAUACUCGUAUUUAUAUUUUGCUUUACAGUGCUAGCAUUUCAAUUUUAACUGAAAGUUGCACUUUUAAUACUGCUCUGUUUGUCCUCAGAUGGACAAUGCCCACUCUGAAGAUGAGUACAUGAGUAUUCUUAGAUAUGGAUGUACUCUCAUAAUCCCCUAUGGAUGCAUGAAAAAUAAUAAACAAAAACUGUGAACGAAAGAAGCUGGAAUUGUUUUCAUUAUUGGUACAACAAGAUUAUUCCUUCAGACAGAACCAUGCUGAAUUAAUUCACCUAGAUUUAGGAGAAAAGCUAGAACAAGCUCAUUUAGCCUGUACGUGGGGUAUAAUUCUGCCCAUCAUGUAGAAGGGCUUAAAUCAAAGA